AUAUAUAUAUAUAUAUAUAUAUAUGUAUAUGUGUGUGUGUGUGUGUGUGUGUAUAUACACACACACACAUACAUACU
rnacentral:miRNA from 1 species